GACGUACCACCCGAACGUUAUUCGGAUUCACUGGGCUUACAGAGUCCGUAGGCGGUGGAGAAAGUUAGGCGUGAAAUCCCUCAGCUCAACUGAGGAAUAGCGCUUAAAACUACUUCGCUAGAGAGAGUCAGAGGUAUGCGGAACUGAUGGUGGAGCGGUGAAAUGCGUUGAUAUCAUCAGGAACACCGGUGGCGAAAGCGGCAUACUGGGGCUUUUCUGACGCUGAGGGACGAAAGCUAGGGGAGCGAACGGG
rnacentral:rRNA from 1 species